UGUAACUGGUCUCUCUCUAUAGUCAGGCUGGUGUAGCUGGUCUGUAACUGGUCUCUCUCUAUAGUCAGGCUGGUGUAGCUGGUCUGUAACUGGUCUCUCUCUAUAGUCAGGUUGUUGAACUUGAUC